UUAAAUAUAACUCUGAUUGGAUUCGUCUGAAUGAAGAAAGUCAUAUACACCUGGGAUGCUUUGAGGAAGGAGUGAAGACAGGUGAAGAGCGCCACCGUGUGGACAUUUGAAGAACUACAAAAACAAGACAAAACACCUACAGCAGCAGCGGAGUGAUUCUGGUGUAAACACCGGGUUUAUUGACUCGUCCACAUCCUUCACCCCAACUCACCACACCAGCCAACCGCCAGCCCCCCGCUUCAGCCCGACACACCAGAGGACCCCCGCUGUCUCCCUGAACAGAAACGCUGAGGUUGCUGAGGACACAGGAGUCUCUCUCAGGAGGGUUUAACAGAUGUGGCAUGAGUGCUGACAGUGUGUACGGGGCCAGUUCAGAGACCCCCAGCAGCUGGACACAACCAGAGACCUGUGGAUGCUCAGUCUCGUCCAGCGUCACAGGACAGACAGGAAACGGCACGGAGACACUUCCUGCUCCGUACAGAGUCAGCGCUGAUGACUGAGGAGCCACGUCUGGGAGACUCUGAGAAAUGGAUCUUUUCGUAGCAGAUCCAGGAAUCAGGGUGAGGGGCGUGUCCGUCAUCACUGGAGCCAUGAGCAGAGGAAGAGCCGUGUUUAAGAGCAGAUCUGGAGGAGAGCCAUGAGGGCAUGAUGGGAAGGUCUGCAGAGGCUCACGCUUGUCCUCUUCCAGACUGAUGUUAUAGGAACCCUAAAGGUCAAAGAGAACAGAAACUCGUACAGGUCUGGAAGGACACGAGGGCGAGUAAAUCAUGACAAAACUUUAAUUUUCGGGUGAACUAUCCCUUUAAGCAAGACAUGAAAAAGUAUUUAAUUCCACAUCUCUACAUGGUGAAUGUGCUACAGCUGCUUUUCAGUGAAUGCAAACUCACAGUGGCAGCUUCUUUAAGACGUUUUGAUGCAUUGUUACAAACACCCAGAGCCUAUUGUCCUUACCUGAGAA